CUCGCUCUCCCUCAUCUCAUUGUUUCAGAGUAGGCCAGACUUGAAGUCCUUCCCAGGGAGUGGUCCUGUCCAUCUUAUUCUCCAGCCAGAGUAGGAGCAGCGUGAGAAGGAGAGAGACACAUUCAGCAGCCAAAGGAUUCAGUGGAAAGAGCAGAGGAACAGAGACAAUAUGCUGUGCUCGGGACCCAAACUGCUGCUGUGUCUCAUCACACUCAUCAUCCCCUCUGAUUGGGCACCCCCAGGAGUCUACAGUCAACGAGGAGGUAG